GAGCAAAGGGUAUGUUAUUCUUUUUGUGUUCCCGAUAAAAACGCCCCAACGUUCUCACCUUCAAAAACACAAGUCACUUCCUCUCAAGAUCCCAUACUCUGUAUAUCAGGAAAACUCAGCUUUGUCACUUGUGCAAAUCGUAAGAACUCAACUUCGUCCCCAUAGCACAAAUCAGAUCCCGAAUUCCUCUGUUUCUCUUCCCGCUGCUCACUCUUUUUCUGUCAAAUUUUUCUGCAAAUCUUCUCCUCUCAUGCUCAACCCUUCCUUGAAACUUGGGUCGUCGACAAUCGUCUUCUUCACUGCGAGUAGCAGCAAGUACGAACUCCUUCCCUCGUGCAUUUACUCUCUCUCUCUCUCUCUCUCUCUCUCUCUCUCUCUCUCUCUCUCUCUCUCUCUCUCGCUUUCUUUUUGGAACUGAAAAGAUUGAGAGCAGAAAAGGCCCACUUUUCCUCAAAGUGGCUUAUCAAGCUUUAAGAAUUUCCAAGUGGCCACUACGAAUUCCAGUACAAUAAUUGUACCAAUUGAGAAGAAACUAUGUCAAUUUGAUUCAGUGCUAGUUUAAAUUCACUGGAUAAACAACAGUGGAACAAAUUACUCAAAGUUGAAGGCUCAAAAACCCUCGGUGCCAGAAUGCCCCAUUUUUUCAACUCAUUCCCCCUCCCGGCAGCCUCUUGCUCUCCCUCUUCCUCUCCCUCCCUUGAAUCUAAUCUCAUCCAUUGCAAACCUAGGGUAUGGCUUGUUGAGAAAUUUGGUUUCCAUAAAUUUGCACUUCACCUUCCCAUUGAUGAUGAAUCCAGUGUACGAAGUUUUCGAGAGACUCUUCUUUGAAGUGGGCAAGACUAUGCAGAGCAUACUUGGUGGAAGCAAGAUGAUUUUAUAAGAGAUACACACCUGGGAUGGAGGAGUACCUGGCUAAGGCAUGUAUAUAAUUAUUGAUUUUAUUGUUCAAAAGUGAAUUUAUAUAAAGUAUCUGUCAAACGUUGUUUCUGUUC